UUUCUGCCACCGAAUACAUUAGCAUGGGAUAAUGGAAUAGGACCCUGUCCUCCUAUUUUCAGUUGGUUUUGGCAGCGCGAGGACUAGGGUAAUGAUUAAUAGGGAUAGUUGGGGGCAUUAAUAUUUAAUUGUCAGAGGUGAAAUUCUUGGAUUUAUGAAAGAUUAACUUCUGCGAAAGCAUCUGCCAAGGAUGUUUUCAUUAAUCAAGAACGAAAGUUAGGGGAUCGAAGACGAUCAGAUACCGUCGUAGUCUUAACCAUAAACGAUGCCGACCAGCGAUUAGGAGACGUUGAAUACAAAACACCACCAUCGGUGCGGUCGUCCUUGGCGUCGGUCUUUCGGGGCCGGCGCGGGGACGGCUUAGCCCGGUGGCACCGGUGAAUGACUCCCCUAG
rnacentral:rRNA from 2 species